rnacentral:rRNA from 1 species
AACGAACGCUGGCGGCAGGCUUAACACAUGCAAGUCGAGCGCCCCGCAAGGGGAGCGGCAGACGGGUGAGUAACGCGUGGGAACGUACCCUUUGCUACGGAAUAGCUCCGGGAAACUGGAAUUAAUACCGUAUGUGCCCUACGGGGGAAAGAUUUAUCGGCAAAGGAUCGGCCCGCGUUGGAUUAGCUAGUUGGUGGGGUAAUGGCCUACCAAGGCGACGAUCCAUAGCUGGUCUGAGAGGAUGAUCAGCCACAUUGGGACUGAGACACGGCCCAAACUCCUACGGGAGGCAGCAGUGGGGAAUAUUGGACAAUGGGCGCAAGCUUGAUCCAGCCAUGCCGCGUGAGUGAUGAAGGCCUUAGGGUUGUAAAGCUCUUUCACCGGAGAAGAUAAUGACGGUAUCCGGAGAAGAAGCCCCGGCUAACUUCGUGCCAGCCGCCGCGGUAACAC